GGAGGGUGCAAACGUUGUCCGGAAUUACUGGGCGUAAAGGGCGCGUAGGCGGACUUGUAAGUCAGGAGUGAAAACUCAGGGCUCAACCCUGAGCCUGCUUCUGAAACUGCAAGUCUUGAGGACCGGAGAGGAAAGUGGAAUUCCUAGUGUAGCGGUGGAAUGCGUAGAUAUUAGGAAGAGCACCAGUGGCGAAGGCGACUUUCUGGACGGUACCUGACGCUGAGGCGCGAAAGCUAGGGGAGCAAACAGGAUUAGAUACCCUGGUAGUCCUAGCUGUAAACGAUGAGUGCUAGAUGGUGGUAGUUUCAACGCUUUCACUGCCGAAGCUAACGCAUUAAGCACUCCGCCUGGGAGUACGGCCGCAAGGUUG
rnacentral:rRNA from 1 species